AACCUCUAGCAUUAAAAGUAUUAGAGGCAAUGCCUGCCCRGUGACUAAGUUUAACGGCCGCGGUAUCCUGACCGUGCAAAGGUAGCAUAAUCACUUGUUCCUUAAUUGGGGACUAGCAUGAACGGCUAAACGAGGAUUCAACUGUCUUUUACUUCUGAUCAGUGAAAUUGACCUUCCCGUGAAGAGGCGGGAAUAUYAUAAUAAGACGAGAAGACCCUAUGGAGCUUUAGUCCMACUUCUUAGCCUCUACAAUCAACAACCURCUGGCUUAAACAUAWAGGCAUAAGAUAAGGACUUCGGUUGGGGUGACCUCGGAGCAUAAAAAAUCCUCCGAAUGAUUACAGCUAAGGCCCACAAGCCAAGGCACCUCUAAUCUUAUUGAUCCAAAUAUAAUUGAUCAACGGACCAAGUUACCCUAGGGAUAACAGCGCAAUCCUAUUCGAGAGUCCAUAUCGACAAUUAGGGUUUACGACCUCGAUGUUGGAUCAGGACAUCCCAAUGGUGUAGCAGCUAUUAAAGGUUCGUUUGUU
rnacentral:rRNA from 1 species